rfam:Cavia porcellus supercont2_189 genomic scaffold, whole genome shotgun sequence.
ACCUUCUAUAAUCAUAAAUAUGGUGCUGGGGUGUUCGUGCCAUCAAAAGAGAAGUGCCUCCCUCUAUAUCUUGUUACAUCAUCAGCACAUCACCUGCCUGAGA